rnacentral:rRNA from 1 species
AAACCUGCGAAACUCGAAUGAACGAACGGAGAGAUUCAUCGUCAUUCCGUGGCGUACCCGUUCGCGCCUUGAUGUUUGCGCUUGCGUGUCUUACGGCGCGUACGUGCGGGCACAGGUCGUGCGGGUCGACGUUCGCGGACGGCGUGCACUUCUCUCUUAGUACACACUCCGCAAGGGGUGGAUACAUCGCGACCCGUUCUCUUUGUCGGUCUAAGCGUCGUUCGGGAGCCUAGCGGCCGCGUCUAAACAACGCCGGCUGUUAGACCGUGACGUUCGCCGGCCGGCGGAGGACGGUAUAUUCAUAUAUGGGAACCGCGCACGCGUUUCGACGCGUCAGGCCCGACGCAAGUGUUUGUGUCAUCGCCGACGUCCUGCCUAUGUGCGGACGACGACGUGGCGCCGCUGUUGUCGCAGCCGUGUAGUCUCUGACUGUGCGCGUAUCCGUCAGCGAUGUUUCAGUUUCGGGCACUCGCAGGAC